UACGGGGGGGCAAGCGUUGUUCGGAUUUACUGGGCGUAAAGGGCGCGUAGGCGGUCAGCACAAGUCAGUUGUGAAAUCUCCGGGCUUAACUCGGAAAGGUCAACUGAUACUGUGCGACUUAGAGUGCAGAAGGGGCAACUGGAAUUCUCGGUGUAGCGGUGGAAUGCGCAGAUAUCAGGAGGAACACCGGUGGCGAAGGCGGGUCUCUGGGCAGUAACUGACGCUGAGGAGCGAAAGCGUGGGGGAGCGAACAGG
rnacentral:rRNA from 1 species